GAGUUUGAUCCUGGCUCAGAUUGAACGCUGGCGGCAGGCCUAACACAUGCAAGUCGAGCGGAUGAAGGGAGCUUGCUCCUGGAUUCAGCGGCGGACGGGUGAGUAAUGCCUAGGAAUCUGCCUGGUAGUGGGGGAUAACGUCCGGAAACGGGCGCUAAUACCGCAUACGUCCUGAGGGGAGAAAGUGGGGGAUCUUCGGACCUCACGCUAUCAGAUGAGCCUAGGUCGGAUUAGCUAGUUGGUGGGGUAAAGGCCUACCAAGGCGACGAUCCGUAACUGGUCUGAGAGGAUGAUCAGUCACACUGGAACUGAGACACGGUCCAGACUCCUACGGGAGGCAGCAGUGGGGAAUAUUGGACAAUGGGCGAAAGCCUGAUCCAGCCAUGCCGCGUGUGUGAAGAAGGUCUUCGGAUUGUAAAGCACUUUAAGUUGGGAGGAAGGGCGAGUAAGUUAAUACCUUGCUGUUUUGACGUUACCAACAGAAUAAGCACCGGC
rnacentral:rRNA from 1 species